rnacentral:rRNA from 1 species
UACGUAGGGUGCGAGCGUUGCCCGGAUUUAUUGGGCGUAAAGGGCGCGCAGGCGGUACGGCACGUCCGUUGUGAAAUCGCUCGGCUCAACUGGGCGGGGUCAGCGGAUACGGCCGCACUCGAGCAAGCUAGGGGGCAAUGGAAUUCCCCGGUGUAGUGGUGGAAUGCGUAGAUAUCGGGGAGGAACACCAGUGGCGAAGGCGGUUGCCUGGAGCUUUGCUGACGCUGAGGCGCGAAAGCGUGGGGAGCGAUCCGG